UACGUAGGGUGCGAGCGUUAAUCGGAAUUACUGGGCGUAAAGCGUGCGCAGGCGGUUUUGUAAGCCAGAUGUGAAAUCCCCGGGCUUAACCUGGGAAUGGCGUUUGGGACUGCAAGGCUGGAGUGCGGCAGAGGAGACUGGAAUUCCUGGUGUAGCAGUGAAAUGCGUAGAUAUCAGGAGGAACACCGAUGGCGAAGGCAGGUCUCUGGGCUGACACUGACGCUCAUGCACGAAAGCGUGGGGAGCAAACAGG
rnacentral:rRNA from 1 species